GGGAAUGUGGCUUAGUGGUAGAGUGCUUGCAUAGUAUGCAUGGAACCCUGAGUUUGAUUCUCAGUACCA
rnacentral:tRNA from 1 species